AGUGAACGCUGGCGGUAGGCCUAACACAUGCAAGUCGAACGGCAGCACAGUAAGAGCUUGCUCUUACGGGUGGCGAGUGGCGGACGGGUGAGGAAUACAUCGGAAUCUACUUUUUCGUGGGGGAUAACGUAGGGAAACUUACGCUAAUACCGCAUACGACCUACGGGUGAAAGCAGUGGAUCUUCGGACCUUGCGCGAUUGAAUGAGCCGAUGCCGGAUUAGCUAGUUGGCGGGGUAAAGGCCCACCAAGGCGACGAUCCGUAGCUGGUCUGAGAGGAUGAUCAGCCACACUGGAACUGAGACACGGUCCAGACUCCUACGGGAGGCAGCAGUGGGGAAUAUUGGACAAUGGGCGCAAGCCUGAUCCAGCCAUACCGCGUGGGUGAAGAAGGCCUUCGGGUUGUAAAGCCCUUUUGUUGGGAAAGAAAAGCAGCAGGUUAAUACCCCGCUGUUCUGACGGUACCCAAAGAAUAAGCACCGGCUAACUUCGUG
rnacentral:rRNA from 1 species